rnacentral:rRNA from 1 species
UACGGGGGGGGCAAGCGUUGUUCGGAAUUACUGGGCGUAAAGGGCGCGUAGGCGGCCUUCUAAGUCGGACGUGAAAUCCCUCGGCUUAACCGAGGAACUGCGUCCGAUACUGAAAGGCUUGAAUCCGGGAGAGGGAUGUGGAAUUCCAGGUGUAGCGGUGAAAUGCGCAGAUAUCAGGAGGAACACCAAUUGCGAAGGCAGCUCGCUGGGACGUUACUGACGCUGAGACGCGAAAGCGUGGGGAGCAAACAGG